CACGGGGGGAGCAAGCGUUGUUCGGAAUCACUGGGCGUAAAGGGCGUGUAGGCGGUCAGGUAAGUGAGAUGUGAAAUGCCCCGGCUCACCCGGGGACCGGCAUCUCAUACUGCUUGGCUUGAGUACGGGAGAGGAUGUGGGAAUUCCUGGUGUAGCGGUGAAAUGCGUAGAUAUCAGGAGGAACACCGGUGGCGAAGGCGCACAUCUGGCCCGAUACUGACGCUGAGGCGCGAAAGCGUGGGGAGCAAACAGG
rnacentral:rRNA from 1 species